rnacentral:rRNA from 1 species
CAAUAGCGCAUAUUAAAGUUGUUGCAGUUAAAAAGCUCGUAGUUGGAUUUGUGGUGGUUCCUGUGGUCCGAUUUCGGCACUCUCGGGGACUGCCAUCUUUGGGUGGAUCCUGUGUGGCAUUAGGUUGUCGUGCAGGGGAUGCCCAUCGUUUACUGUGAAAAAAUUAGAGUGUUCAAAGCAGGCUUAUGCCGUUGAAUAUAUUAGCAUGGAAUAAUGAGAUAGGACCUUGGUACUAUUUUGUUGGUUUGCGCACCGAGGUAAUGAUUAAUAGGGACAGUUGUGGGUAUUCGUAUUCCAUUGUCAGAGGUGAAAUUCUUGGAUUUCUGGAAGACGAACUAAUGCGAAAGCAUUUACCAAGGAUGUUUUCAUUAA